UGUUAAACAUAUGGACACAGCCCAGAACUGAUGUAGGAAUUUCUCCUUUUGAAAUGCUAUAUGGUAUACCCUAUGACUUGGAAUUGCCACUUGAUCACCCUCAAUUCUAAUUAAGACUUGGAAAGAGACUGCUUUAACACCACGAUGGGGAAGGCCCCUAUGUUGUUUUGCUUACCACAGAAACGGCUGUUCGAACUGCGGAGAAAGGAUGGACGCAUGCCAGCCGUGUGAAAGGACCAAUCCGGGAAGGUGAUAAUUAUACCAAGGAUUCUAUACCACCCUGAGGAUUAUAUGUACACCCAGACACAGUGGAAAGUCAUCAUCUGGAAAGAUGGGAACCAUUCAUGGCUCUAACUUUGGCCACCCUAAUAAUCCUGGGAGGAGCUGGAGUGGGGACCAGGGUAGCCUCAUUGGUUAAACAAAAUCAAGAAUUUACUUCCUUAUGCAUUGCUGUGGACGAGGACCUGACCCAAAUUGAACAAUCCAUCUCGGCCCUGGAAAAUCUAUCAGGUUGCUUUCAGAGGUAGUGUUACAAAAUCAUAGGGGAUUAGAUUUGGUAUUUUUUU